AUGUGUUGAACCAUAUCCUGGAUGACAUCCCUGCCAUAAAUACUCCAAGGGUUUUCACAGGACUGCUCUUUAGAACAUUCCUCACUCGGGGCAGGCUGGUGGCACUAGGCCAGAUGCUCAGCUCAGGAAAAGCCGUUCCUGAGGGGGCCCAAACCGUCGGACUGUCUGGCUUGGUCCAGGGAUAAAACUGUAGAUGGCACUGUUCUUCUGCAAGGAGGUGAAAUGACUGACACAAAAGUCCCCCGGACUGGAGGAAGCAGCUCCUGGAUUCGCACAGAGUAGUCUGAACUCCAGACCUUGCCCUUUUACCCAGAAGCUGAAGAGCACAUCACCCUGGGCCUCUGGCAUCACCAGCAUCCUCCAGCGAGCUCCCUUUUCUACAGCCAAACAGAGGGAGGCCCUGAAAGAGCCCAAGACUCCUCUAGGAAGCAACAGUCCAAGAAGAGGUGAAAUCAACCCUACCAUCAACCUAAGAUCCUCAUCUAAGAUCCCCAGAUCAGCCCGGGGGAAGCUGGAGGAGCGAGGUGGAAGAUUCUCUAUGAAAUAAACAAAAACAAAAACGACAAA